AUGCACGCUGGCGGCGUGCCUAAUACAUGCAAGUCGAGCGAACAGACGAGGAGCUUGCUCCUCUGACGUUAGCGGCGGACGGGUGAGUAACACGUGGAUAACCUACCUAUAAGACUGGGAUAACUUCGGGAAACCGGAGCUAAUACCGGAUAAUAUAUUGAACCGCAUGGUUCAAUAGUGAAAGACGGUUUUGCUGUCACUUAUAGAUGGAUCCGCGCCGCAUUAGCUAGUUGGUAAGGUAACGGCUUACCAAGGCAACGAUGCGUAGCCGACCUGAGAGGGUGAUCGGCCACACUGGAACUGAGACACGGUCCAGACUCCUACGGGAGGCAGCAGUAGGGAAUCUUCCGCAAUGGGCGAAAGCCUGACGGAGCAACGCCGCGUGAGUGAUGAAGGUCUUGGAUCGUAAAACUCUGUUAUUAGGGAAGAACAAAUGUGUAAGUAACUAUGCACGUCUUGACGGUACCUAAUCAGAAAGCCACGGCUAACUACGUG
rnacentral:rRNA from 1 species